rnacentral:rRNA from 1 species
GUGAGGAAUAUUGCACAAUGGGCGAAAGCCAGAUGCAGCAACGCCGCGUGAGGGAUGAAGGCCUUCGGGUCGUAAACCUCUUUUCUGAGGGACGAGAUCAGGACGGUACCUCGGGAAUAAGUCUCGGCUAACUACGUGCCAGCAGCCGCGGUAAAACGUAGGAGGCGAGCGUUAUCCGGAUUUACUGGGCGUAAAGCGCACGCAGGCGGCUCUGUGAGUCGGACGUGAAAGCUCCUGGCUUAACUGGGAGAGGUCGUUCGAUACUGCAGGGCUUGAGGUUGGGAGAGGGGUGUGGAAUUCCCGGUGUAGUGGUGGAAUGCGUAGAUAUCGGGAGGAACACCAGUGGCGAAAGCGGCACCCUGGCCCACACCUGACGCUGAGGUGCGAAAGCGUGGGUAGCAAACAGGAUUAGAUACCCUAGUAGUCC